AGAAACUCGACAACGUUUUAGAUGAGACGGUCAAUCUCUUCUGCCUCUCCUCCAUUAAAUUAAAACUUUUUUUUUUUUUUUUCUGCGUUGGUUCGUUUUCUCCAAUCGAACACCUCCGGUUCGAAGCUGUCCCGCAUAUAGACCCUCAUGGAGUUGUUCCCAUCAAAAUCUUCGAGUAAGUAGCAACUUGGCCUGAAUUUUACUGAAGGCAUGACGUCUUCCAAAGCCUACCCCAAGGCGGUUAAUGGAUUGGCAAGGGUACGAUAGAACCAGAGAUUCUGUUGGUACUUUUUUUUUCUAUCUUAUUGUUUGUAGAUUAUUAUUCGCUGCUUUUGCUGAUCAAUUGUAAAGUGUGAUGAAUAUUUUUUUUUAGUUAGAUUUUUCAUGAUUUCAAGAAGGUGAGGACUUCAUCGCUCUCAUGGCUGACAAAAAGUUUUCAUACCGAAACAAAGCAACUUUGCGAUGCUGAAGGUUUUGUGUGUUUUAAUAUCUAACCAUGGAUUUUUGA